GAUCGGCUAACCGAUAUGAAGGCUCAUUCACGUGGUUGACGCCAGACUGCAAGCAAGUUAGGGGUUCUUGCGCUGCAAAGGCGUUCUUCUUAGGAGUAGAAAUAAAACAACGGACCUCUGAAGGGAGCCGUCACUCUGUGUGGUGUUCUGUGCCGCUAAAAUAGCAACAUCGCUAGAAAAAAUCGGUGCAAUGGAGGCUAAGCAGCGAAAUUUCUCGGCCUUUCAGCCAACGGGCACGGCAACAACGCCGUAUGAAAAGCACAUCCAGAGCUCACCACAACAACUUCCUCCCUCAAAGAGGGAACUUGUAUGGCACAAUAUCAUACUUCUAACAUUAUUGCAUGUGUACACCACGUGGCACUUCGCAUUUACAAGAUUUAGCCUACUAAUGUGGACCUUCCAACUUUGCUACGGUUACCUCGGGGGAAUUGGAACAACUGCUGGCGUCCAUCGCCUCUGGACUCAUCGAGCAUACAAAGCCAAAUUGCCAUUACGGGUUUUUUUUGCCAUCUGCUUUUCAGCGUCAGCCCAGGUCUGUGCACAAAACCAGCAACUUACUUAACCCCCUUUUCAGCAGAUAAUACGGUAAUUGUAUACAUAUUUAAGAAAAGGGCCCUAUACUUUUAUGGCAAGCAAAAGUUACUUACUUUAUUCGUUGCAAGCCCUCGAUUAUACUCAACUUGAGCACAAAAUUAUCCAUAGUUUCUCGACAAAAGUAUUACACAUAAUCUGUGAACACAGAUGAACGAAACAGGUGUACAAAAUUAUGCGCUAUGAUGGUCAAGACGGCG